GAUGAACGCUGGCGGCGUGCCUAAUACAUGCAAGUCGAGCGAACGGACGAGAAGCUUGCUUCUCUGAUGUUAGCGGCGGACGGGUGAGUAACACGUGGAUAACCUACCUAUAAGACUGGGAUAACUUCGGGAAACCGGAGCUAAUACCGGAUAAUAUUUUGAACCGCAUGGUUCAAAAGUAAAAGACGGUCUUGCUGUCACUUAUAGAUGGAUCCGCGCUGCAUUAGCUAGUUGGUAAGGUAACGGCUUACCAAGGCAACGAUGCAUAGCCGACCUGAGAGGGUGAUCGGCCACACUGGAACUGAGACACGGUCCAGACUCCUACGGGAGGCAGCAGUAGGGAAGCGUCCGCAAUGGGCGAAAGCCUGACGGAGCAACGCCGCGUGAGUGAUGAAGGUCUUCGGAUCGUAAAACUCUGUUAUUAGGGAAGAACAUAUGUGUAAGUAACUGUGCACAUCUUGACGGUACCUAAUCAGAAAGCCACGGCUAACUACGUG
rnacentral:rRNA from 1 species